AGCGAACGCUGGCGGCAGGCCUAACACAUGCAAGUCGAACGAACCUUUCGGGGUUAGUGGCGGACGGGUGAGUAACACGUGGGAACGUGCCUUUAGGUUCGGAAUAACUCAGGGAAACUUGUGCUAAUACCGAAUGUGCCCUUCGGGGGAAAGAUUAAUCGCCUUUAGAGCGGCCCGCGUCUGAUUAGCUAGUUGGUUGAGGUAAUGGCUCACCAAGGCGACGAUCAGUAGCUGGUCUGAGAGGAUGAUCAGCCACAUUGGGACUGAGACACGGCCCAAACUCCUACGGGAGGCAGCAGUGGGGAAUCUUGCGCAAUGGGCGAAAGCCUGACGCAGCCAUGCCGCGUGAAUGAUGAAGGUCUUAGGACUGUAAAAUUCUUUCACCGGGGACGAUAAUGACGGUACCCGGAGAAGAAGCCCCGGCUAACUUCGUG
rnacentral:rRNA from 1 species